rnacentral:rRNA from 1 species
AUUGAACGCUGGCGGCAGGCCUAACACCUGCAAGUCGAACGAAUGGCGGACGGGUUAGUCAUGUCUGGGAAACUGACUGAUGGAGGGGGAUAACUACUGGAAACGGUAGCUAAUACCGCAUACCAUCAGAUGUGCCCAGAUGGGAUUAGCUAGUUGGUGGGGUAACGGCUCACCAAGGCGACGAUCCCUAGCUGGUCUGAGAGGAUGACCAGCUACACUGGAGUUGAGACACGGGCCAGACUCCGACGGGAGGCAGCAGUGGGGAAUAUUGCACAAUGGGCGCAAGCCUGAUGCAGCCAUGCCGCGUGUAUGAAGAAGGCCUUCGGGUUGUAAAGUACUUUCAGCGGGGAGUCGUUACCCGCAGAAGAAGCACCGGCUAACUCCGUGCCAGCAGCCGCGGUAAUUC